rfam:Fukomys damarensis contig116972, whole genome shotgun sequence.
GUCUAUUGCCAUUCCACCCUGAAUGUACCUGAUCUCUUCUGACCUCAGAAGCUAAGCAAGGUUGGGCCUUUACUUAGUAUCUGGAUGCCAGAAAGAAGCAGCAGGAAAAAAACC